UACGUAGGGGGCAAGCGUUGUCCGGAUUUAUUGGGCGUAAAGAGCGUGUAGGCGGCCAGACAGGUCCGUUGUGAAAACUCGAGGCUCAACCUCGAGACGUCGAUGGAAACCGUCGGGCUAGAGUCCGGAAGAGGAGAGUGGAAUUCCUGGUGUAGCGGUGAAAUGCGCAGAUAUCAGGAGGAACACCCGUGGCGAAAGCGGCUCUCUGGGCCUUACCUGACGCUGAGGCGCGAAAGCUAGGGGAGCGAACAGG
rnacentral:rRNA from 1 species